AAUAAUAAAAGUUUAAAAUUUUCACGUGAAAAUCACCAUUAUGCCAGAUCUAAGAAACAGAUUUACGAAAGUCACUAUUAUGGACUGGAAUUUGGGAUUUGUUGAAGUGAUGAUUCGGAGAGAGUUGACACGAGGAAUUGGCUGCACUCCAGAUUGUAUACAGCCGCAGCAAAGUACAAGAAUUAUAGUUCAAUACUUAAUGCAUGUGUUAGUAAUAUUCAGGGUAUAAAUGUUUACAUUCAAUUUGGAUAGGGACAUAUGGCAAUAAAAAAAUAUUUGCAUAUUUCUUUUUAAUAUUAGUUCUAUUUAUUGUUUAGAAAGAUGUGAAAUUUAGAGCAAAUAAUAGAAUUAAAAGAAUGAAGUGAGUUUGGAUUAGAAAUUGAGACAUGAGUUCAUAUUCAAUUGCCAAUAAUCCUUGAAUCAAGGGUUAAGGGUGUACUAGGAUUAAACUUAAAUCAAAGUUUAAAAUAAAUUUUUUUUUCUUUCUGAGUU